GGUUAAGCGACUAAGCGUACACGGUGGAUGCCCUGGCAGUCAGAGGCGAUGAAGGACGUGCUAAUCUGCGAAAAGCGUCGGUAAGGUGAUAUGAACCGUUACAGCCGGCGAUGUCCGAAUGGGGAAACCCAGUCUGAUUCGUCACACUAUCGUUAACUGAAUACAUAGGUUAACGAGGCGAACCGGGGGAACUGAAACAUCUAAGAACCCCGAGGAAAAGAAAUCAACCGAGAUUCCCCCAGUAGCGGCGAGCGAACGGGGAGCAGCCCAGAGUCUGAAUCAGCUUGUGUGUUAGUGGAACGGUCUGGAAAGUCCGACGGUACAGGGUGAUAGUCCCGUACACCAAAAUGCACAGGCUGUGAACUCGAAGAGUAGGGCGGGACACGUGGUAUCCUGUCUGAAUAUGGGGGGACCAUCCUCCAAGGCUAAAUACUCCUGACUGACCGAUAGUGAACCAGUACCGUGAGGGAAAGGCGAAAAGAACCCCGGCGAGGGGAGUGAAAAAGAACCUGAAACCGUGUACGUACAAGCAGUGGGAGCACCUUCGGGUGUGACUGCGUACCUUUUGUAUAAUGGGUCAGCGACUUAUAUUCUGUAGCAAGGUUAACC
rnacentral:rRNA from 1 species